rnacentral:tRNA from 2 species
CAAAGUAGAAUAAUUUAGUUCGUUCCGUUUACACUGGAAAAGUUAAGAGGUCUUGCUUUGC